UCCCUGGUGGCUCAGUUGGUAAAGAAUCUGCCUGCCAUGCACGAGACCCAGGUUUGAUCCCUGGAUUGGGAA
rnacentral:tRNA from 1 species